rnacentral:lncRNA from 1 species
AAAAGAUAUAAAAGGUACAUAAAACAUCCAAAGAUAACAAGAUAACAACAUGAAACCAUAAAAAAUUAUAGAUACGUUUGAAACGUAUCAACUGCCGGAGGCAUUUCCUAUGGAGUCAUCAUCAUUGUGAUCUUUGAGCCGUGAGUAAAUAAAAGUGUGAUGAUCAUCAUUAUUAGAGCAUUGUCCCAUGUGAGGAACUAAUAAAAAGGCCAAAGAGCGCAAAAACAAAACAAAAUGAGAAAAG